GUUUUUACUUUUAUUAGAA
rnacentral:tRNA from 1 species